GCGCCGGUAGCUCAGUGGAUAGAGCACUUCGCUACGGACGAAGGGGUCGGGGGUUCGAAUCCUCCCCGGCGUG
rnacentral:tRNA from 1 species